ACAACUUAACGUGGACACACGCACUCAUACACGAAUGUCUCCAACUACAAUGCACAUACAUAUAUGUAUGUAUGUAUGGGUCUGAGGCCCCAUUGGGUCAUAUAUCAAAAAAUGGCUGAAGGAAAGCGAGGCAGAAUGAAAAAGCGAAAGAAACGAGAGAUUAUCAUAAUAUAGGAAUGAUAAAGAUAAAUUAUGGUGCAAUAGGCAAAUGGGUAACGAAGACGCGGUUGGACGCAGGGCAAGCCAAGUAGCUGGUCGGUCAUGCAUAAAUUAAGCAGCGGGCUGAUGAGGGGCAGGUCAUGGUGCAUAAGGAAUGAGAAGUGCAGGUGUAUCUGACGGGUCUGUAUGGAAGAAGUUUUCUGUAAAGAUGCAAGUGAUUGCUAAUCGAACGAAGGGCAUAUGUAUGUACGAGUAUCUGUUGCCACAUAGAAUGGCUUUUGAAAAUGGGAAACUUUCAGCACUCGAACGAAGCAUAUGUAUAAGGUCUACCCACUCGCACACAUACUGGAGAACACUCACACACACAGAGGCAAGGACCUCCCACAGGCAGUGGAGCAACAAAGGACAUCAACAUUUUCAAUAGAUUUCCGCUAACAAGAUAAAUAGUUCAAGUUGGAGGAGUCGUGUCUGUGUCUGUGGAUGUGUCUGUGGAUGUGGGUGGGGGUAUGAAUGUGGAUGGGAUGGAGUGGAGUGGAGGGAAAGCGUACUUUAAGAUACAACAAAUGGAAAGCAAGACCCAAGGAAUGCAGGAAAACAGCAACAGACGUUGGAAAUAGCCACGGGGCAUCGGCAAGAAGGCCAGGAGAUGGUCAGAGCCAGCCCAGAGAUGGCCCAGCGCUCUUUUCCCAUUAUUGAUAUCAAAUUGAAAGUGGCUUAAGUGGCUUGGUCAAAGCCAGCGAAAAGAAAUGACGCAAAAUGUAUCUGGAAGAUGAUGUUUCUUUCCGCUUAGCAGUGGAUACAGCUCUUAUAUCCUCCCGAGUGUCCUGCACUGAGAAAAAAUAAAUCACAUCACAAGUAUCUAUCGUUGAGAUGUUUUCAAGGACACAUCAAUAGCAAUCACCAAAUUUCAAGAUACAAUUAAAAUUAAAUUUCCAACUUUUCAAUGGUGAAUAAACUAUGCUUAAAAUGAA